rnacentral:rRNA from 1 species
UUCACCUGAAUCAACAACCAACCCCUCUAUCUGAUUCAGAAAAUGCCCACGUUUUUCAGUACAAGCAUCUAAAAAAGAGAGUACAUGCCCCACGCACCAGUGCACACACGCUCCAGCCAGCAUAUGCACGGCUUGUACAUGUACAAUAUAGCUAGCACUUCGUAGAACUAAAGAGCAUCAAAUACCUGAUGCUUCUUCGUGCUUGUUUCAGAGAAAGAAGAGAGGUCAGAUAGGACCUUACGUCCUUGCAUCGGACCCAGCUGGACAUGGAGCUCGGGUGGACUGUGGACGUGCAAUCUGACGGGGUUUGAUGACACUGCCUCAAGCCUGUGCGCAGCAUCAGAGGCGGCCCAUUGUCCUUUAUGACGUUGACGCGCCGGCUCCGGCUCUCUGCCCAAUUGUUGAACUUCAGCUGCGCACACGCAUACUUGGAUAGGAGAAAAGAUGAAUUAUAAGAGAGGAGCAGGAAGUUGGAGUGGUCAGAGUUGGCCAACGGUUGCGGACACAUGCUGCAGGUGGAGUGGUAGACACAAUUGGACUGUUAAAAAUCAACACAAUGGACUGUAACCAUACCGCAGAAAAUGGUGGUUUUGCAGAAUCUACAGGGAAUAGACAACCUUUUGUGAGGAAGAACAGUAACAGAAAGAGCACACCACUUGCCGGGCUUCACCGAGGAAUAUCAGGUUGGCGAGGCUGAGGUUGGAGAAGAAGUUCGAGCAGAGGAGGGGACGCCGUCCAUGGUGAGUGGGAGGUGCGCUGCCAUCUCCUAUCUCUCCCGGAUGUGCCAUUCAUCUGCAGAUGCAGGUCAAGAACUCCUCUAGCUGCAGGCCGAGGCCUCCUCCAUCUGCAAGUGGUGGCGAGGUGCCACGAUGGACGGCGAUGGGGUGCUCCGAUUGGAGGCACGGGGCAGGCAGCAAGGGCAAGCCGGUGGGGAGCGCGGGGCGACGUCUCUGUCGCGGUGGAGGUGUCCUGGUUGGCUUGCAUGGCGGAAGCCGGCGGGACUGGAUUGAGCUGGGCCGCAGGAGGUGGCCGACAGGGCGGCGCCGGGAAGCCGGGAGUUGGAGGCGCGCGGCGGCCCGGCCAGGAGGUGGAGUCGCGACAGCGCGGCUGCCGGGGGGGAGGUGAGGUCGGUGGUGCGUCUGCUGGGGAGGGAGAUGGAGGCGGCCGCGCUUCUGCCGCCGGAGGAAGUUGGGGGCGGCGGUGCUUGCUGCCGGGAAGGGAAGUGGUGACGGCGGUGCCUACUGCCAAGGAGGGAGGUGCCGGCGGCGGCGCCUGUUGCCUGGGAAGGUGCCGAGGGGGCGGGGAUGGCGUAGAGCUGGCGUGGGGAUAAGGUCGGGAGGGCUUUUUCUUUUUUCUUCUCGGCC